rnacentral:rRNA from 1 species
GUCCACGCCCUAAACGAUGUCUACUAGUUGUCGGGUCUUAAUUGACUUGGUAACGCAGCUAACGCGUGAAGUAGACCGCCUGGGGAGUACGGUCGCAAGAUUAAAACUCAAAGGAAUUGACGGGGACCCCGCACAAGCGGUGGAUGAUGUGGAUUAAUUCGAUGCAACGCGAAAACCUUACCUACCCUUGACAUGGACGGAAUCCUGAAGAGAUUUGGGAGUGCUCGAAAGAGAGCCGUUACACAGGUGCUGCAUGGCUGUCGU